rnacentral:rRNA from 1 species
AGGACUAACGCUGGCGGCGUGCCUAACACAUGCAAGUCGAACGAGGGGUAGCAAUACCCCUAGUGGCAGACGGGUGAGUAACACGUAGUCAACCUACCUCUUAAUGGGGGAUAACUAGCCGAAAGGUUAGCUAAUACCGCAUACGAUCGUCGAGUGGCAUCACACGACGAUGAAAGGAGCAAUCCGUUGAGAGAGGGGACUGCGUCCCAUUAGUUAGUUGGUGGGGUAAUGGCCUACCAAGACUCCGAUGGGUAGCUGGCUUGAGAGAGCGACCAGCCACACUGGAACUGAGACACGGUCCAGACUCCUACGGGAGGCAGCAGUGAGGAAUUUUCCGCAAUGGGGGAAACCCUGACGGAGCGACGCCGCGUGUGGGAAGAAGGCCUUCGGGUCGUAACCACUGUCGAGGGGGACGAUAUUGACGGUACCCCUGGAGGAAGCCCGGCUAACUACGCGCCAGCAGCCGC